AAGGGCUUAGCUUAAUUAAAGUGUUUGAUUUGCGUUCAAUUGAUGCAAAGUAGAAUUUGCAGUCCUUA
ensembl:Mt_tRNA